UCCAGUCACAUGUCUGAAGGUGGGUCUAAAAUGCAGGUUGUUGACGGAAAUGGCUCUGAUGCGGCUAGUUAGCUGUGGUAACUGCUGAUAAUCACAUGGCUACCGGCUACCGGCGAAAAUAACGGAGGAAAUCGGGACGAGGCCGAGAACGUGACCGAGGUCAGAGGAGAGCUGGGGACCAAUGUCACUCUAACCUGCUCCAAUCAGACAUCAGGCACACACUGGUACAUGGAGAUCUACAGCCAGUUCAGAGCAUGUGUCAGCUGCCAGAUUUCUUCAACACAUUUUACCUACAACUCUCCUGAUUUUGAAACCAAAUUUUCACUCCUGGGAAACAAACUCAUGAUUAAAAACUUCAGUGCAGGAGACUGCAGGCUUUACUUCUGUGGCAUCAACAGAAAUGACAGCAUUCAUUUUGUGGAGACUUUCCGUCUCGUCUCAGUUUUUCUUUCUCCAGAUAUCUUUCCAACCUCUGAGUCAGACCCUCAGCAGCAGAGCAGCUCCAUAUCACAGCAUCACCUCCUCAUCAUAUACCGCUCAGCCUUCCUCAUUACUGCCAUCACCCUUGUCAUACUGGUUGUGGUUUUUACGUCUCUGUGGGUGAAGAGAAAAUCUCUCCAGGUGCGCAGCCCUCGACCUGUGACCAGUUGGAUUGCAGAGACUGUGCAGAGUGCCCAGGAUGAGAUCCACUCCAACCCUCCAUGUCACUGAAGUGUGUUAGCGUACUUGUGUCAUUGACUCAGUGUUUUCAGUUUUGUGCCUUUAUGUGUUCUCAUCUUGGUUUAAUCCUGUGAAGGUUUUGGUUUCUGUUUUGUAUUUCUAAUUUCCCCAGUUCUUCUUGGUGUGAGAUUUUGUAGUUCUUAAGUUUUGGUUUCCAUACUCCCUCUGUUCUGUGUUCAGUCGGUGUUUGUCUGCCCUGGUCUCACGUCCCUCUGUUGCAGUGUCUGCUUGUGAGUCUGUCUGGAAGUUCAGUCGGUGUUUCCUGUUUCCUGUUUCCUGUUAAUGUAUCUGGUUUGGCUUCCCUUGUCUCGUUAGCCCUGAUUUGUCCCAGCCGUGUUUCCCUCCUGGUUCCCAUUCCCUGACUGCUCUCUCUGUGUAUUUAAGCCCUGUGUUUUUCUUUGUCUGUGUUGUGAUCUCCAUCAUCCCUUGCUGUGUUAUCUUUAUUCUCAGUUUAUUUAGUUUACUGUUCUGUUCUGCCAUCCAGCAAUAAAAGCUGAGUUUGAGUUCACGUUUGCCUCCAUGAGUCUGCACUUUGGGUCCUCCUAUCCUGCCUGCACACAGCCUACACUUGACAAAGUGAUGCUGAAGACGCAUUUUUCUACUCAUGUAUGAUUAAUGUCAUGUUGUAGAAAUGUUACAGUAUUAGAAAAUGUACCACCUGUGUUAGCUUGUCUGCUUUGACCUUUUUCACUGUGAAACAGAAAUUUGAGUUCAGAUUGUGUUCAUGUUUGAGUUUCCUUGCAGUAACAGUUUGGAGACAGAAGAUGAAGACAGCUGAUCUGCUCACAUGUGUUGAACUAAUGAUGAUCUUGACUCCUUUAUUAAUUCAAACCAUAUUAUGGCUGUUGUUACUUCUAUUAAACAUGUACUGCUGGUGCUGUCCCUAUGUGUUACUUUAAAGGUAUCACUGUCAUCUCAGGUGUUGUUAGUAAUUUUACUCAUCAUCUCAUCCACCCAUAUUUAAUUCACAAUAGCACGUUUAAACUAAGGAAAAGUACAAUUUGGAAAAAGAAAAUAUUUAUGUACUUUAAAUUUGAUGGAAGAAGAAUGUCUC
ensembl:lncRNA